UUAGUCUUUUAAAUGUAUCGCUGGCGUAUUGACGUGUAAGGCCAUUCCGUGUGUGUCUUUUUUUUUUAUUUUCCCAUUUGUGUCUCCCUUUUGCCGUCUUUUUGUGUGGUGCCGUUGUUCAGCUUUUGUGCCCGAACCGAACAGAAAUUAGUGAAACGAUGAUGAAUUGAAAAGUGCGACUUUUACGAAUGGCCUCGGGUUGAACCGAUUUCUACGCGUGUGAACUUCGUGUGUGACACGGUCUCGAACAUUCGUGAGUUCGUGCGUGCGCAUUUGUCUCUUUGUACGAAUAUAUUGCUGGUAUAUGUUUGUGUGUGUGUGUGAUUGCGUUAAGAACGUGUCCAACUUCGCUUAAAAAGGUUCCUGCAAGAGGAAGAGAACAAGAAAUUACCAUAAAGGAAGCCUCCCCGAGGGAGAGAAGCUUCCAGCUUCCAGUAGUGUUCGCGCAGUUGAGCUGUUCGGGGUUCGGAACAGGGGAUUAUCGAUUUCGGCCAACGAGCAGCCGAAGAGACUUGAACGCCAGCGAACAGACAGCGAACCUCUCGCUGCCAAAGUCGUUCGAAGUGACUAAGCCGCUGGAGCCAAGGCAAAGAAGAGUGCAGAAGAGUUGCGACAAAGGGACAGAGUGCGACACAAGAUCCUCUCCAGCCAAGUGAGUGAGUGGUGUGUCCGCGGAAGCUGUGUGCAACCGGAGAGGGGGGAUGAGACAGAGAGAGCCGUUUGCGGUGCUCCUCUCCUCGUGUGAUGAUUUACCCGGAAAGCGUUAAUCUUCUGAAUGAACCAUUGAAGGAGAAGGUGGAGAAGCCGAACGAAGAAGGUGGUGAAGACGAAGACGAGUUGAGUCAGACGAAGAAGCCAGACGAGGGCUCGAGGGAUGAGGUAACCAACACUAGUGUGCCCCCACACUGAGAA